rnacentral:rRNA from 1 species
UACGUAGGGGGCAAGCGUUGUCCGGAUUUAUUGGGCGUAAAGAGCGUGUAGGCGGUUUUACAGGUCCGCUGUGAAAACUCGAGGCUCAACCUCGAGCUGUCGGUGGAAACCGUAAGGCUAGAGUCCGGAAGAGGAGAUUGGAAUUCCUGGUGUAGCGGUGGAAUGCGCAGAUAUCAGGAGGAACACCAAUGGCGAAGGCAGAUCUCUGGGCCGUAACUGACGCUGGAGGAGCG